AGGAAUCUGCCCUAGAGCGGGGGAUAACUCGAGGAAACUCGAGCUAAUACCGCAUACAUUCUAAGGAACAAAGCUGGGUUUACCUGGCGCUUUAGGAGGAGCCUGCGUCUGAUUAGCUAGUUGGUGGGGUAAAGGCCUACCAAGGCGACGAUCAGUAGCUGGUCUGAGAGGAUGAUCAGCCACACUGGGACUGAGACACGGCCCAGACUCCUACGGGAGGCAGCAGUGGGGAAUAUUGGACAAUGGGGGCAACCCUGAUCCAGCAAUACCGCGUGUGUGAAGAAGGCCUUCGGGUUGUAAAGCACUUUAGGUGGGGAAGAAGCUAGUCAGUUUAAGAGAUAGAUUAGUUGACGGUACCCACAGAAUAAGCACCGGCUAACUCUGUGCCAGCAGCCGCGGUAAUACAGAGGGUGCAAGCGUUAAUCGGAAUUACUGGGCGUAAAGGGCGCGUAGGUGGUUGUGUAAGUGAGAUGUGAAAUCCCCGGGCUCAACCUGGGAACUGCGUCUUAUACUGCAUAGCUUGAGUACAAUAGAGGGUAGUGGAAUUUCCGGU
rnacentral:rRNA from 1 species